rnacentral:rRNA from 1 species
AGAGUUUGAUCCUGGCUCAGGACGAACGCUGGCGGCACGCUUAACACAUGCAAGUCGAACGAGAGAAGAGGAGCUUGCUUUUCUGAUCUAGUGGCGGACGGGUGAGUAACACGUGAGCAAUCUGCCUUUCAGAGGGGGAUACCGAUUGGAAACGAUCGUUAAUACCGCAUAACAUAAUUGAACCGCAUGAUUUGAUUAUCAAAGAUUUAUCGCUGAAAGAUGAGCUCGCGUCUGAUUAGCUAGUUGGCAAGGUAACGGCUUACCAAGGCGACGAUCAGUAGCCGGGCUGAGAGGUUGAUCGGCCACAUUGGGACUGAGACACGGCCCAGACUCCUACGGGAGGCAGCAGUGGGGAAUAUUGCACAAUGGAGGAAACUCUGAUGCAGCGAUGCCGCGUGAGGGAAGAAGGUUUUAGGAUUGUAAACCUCUGUCUUCAGGGACGAAAAAAGACGGUACCUGAGGAGGAAGCUCCGGCUAACUACGUGCCAGCAGCCGCGGUAAUACGUAGGGAGCGAGCGUUGUCCGGAAUUACUGGGUGUAAAGGGAGCGUAGGCGGGAUCGCAAGUCAGAUGUGAAAACUAUGGGCUUAACCCAUAAACUGCAUUUGAAACUGUGGUUCUUGAGUGAAGUAGAGGUAAGCGGAAUUCCCAGUGUAGCGGUGAAAUGCGUAGAUAUUAGGAGGAACAUCAGUGGCGAAGGCGGCUUACUGGGCUUUAACUGACGCUGAGGCUCGAAAGCGUGGGGAGCAAACAGGAUUAGAUACCCUGGUAGUCCACGCCGUAAACGAUGAUUACUAGGUGUGGGGGGACUGACCCCUUCCGUGCCGCAGCAAACGCAAUAAGUAAUCCACCUGGGGAGUACGACCGCAAGGUUGAAACUCAAAGGAAUUGACGGGGGCCCGCACAAGCAGUGGAGUAUGUGGAUUAAUUCGAAGCAACGCGAAGAACCUUACCAGGUCUUGACAUCGUAUGCAUAGCUCAGAGAUGAGUGAAAUCUCUUCGGAGACAUAUAGACAGGUGGUGCAUGGUUGUCGUCAGCUCGUGUCGUGAGAUGUUGGGUUAAGUCCCGCAACGAGCGCAACCCUUACUGUUAGUUGCUACGCAAGAGCACUCUAGCAGGACUGCCGUUGACAAAACGGAGGAAGGUGGGGAUGACGUCAAAUCAUCAUGCCCCUUAUGACCUGGGCCUCACACGUACUACAAUGGCUGUCAACAGAGGGAAGCAAAGCCGCGAGGUGGAGCGAACCCCUAAAAGCAGUCUUAGUUCGGAUUGUAGGCUGCAACCCGCCUACAUGAAGUCGGAAUUGCUAGUAAUCGCAGAUCAGCAUGCUGCGGUGAAUACGUUCCCGGGCCUUGUACACACCGCCCGUCACGCCAUGGGAGUCGGUAACACCCGAAGCCUGUAGUCUAACCGCAAGGAGGACGCAGUCGAAGGUGGGAUUGAUGACUGGGGUGAAGUCGUAACAAGGUA